UGGGGAAUAUUUCACAAUGGGGGAAACCCUGAUGCAGCAACGCCGCGUGAGUGAUGAAGGCCUUCGGGUUGGAAAGCUCUUUGAUUAGGGACGAUAAUGACGGUAUCUAAAGAACAAGCCACGGCUAACUACGUGCCAGCAGCCGCGGUAAUACGUAGGUGGCAAGCGUUGUCCGGAUUUACUGGGCGUAAAGGAUGUGUAGGCGGAUUUUUAAGUGAGAUGUGAAAUACCCGAGCUCAACUUGGGUGCUGCAUUUCAAACUGGAAGUCUAGAGUGCAGGAGAGGAAAGUGGAAUUCCUAGUGUAGCGGUGAAAUGCGUAGAGAUUAGGAAGAACAUCAGUGGCGAAGGCGACUUUCUGGACUGUAACUGACGCUGAGGCAUGAAAGCGUGGGGAGCAAACAGG
rnacentral:rRNA from 2 species